GACGAACGCUGGCGGCGUGCCUAAUACAUGCAAGUAGAACGCUGAAGGAGGAGCUUGCUUCUCUGGAUGAGUUGCGAACGGGUGAGUAACGCGUAGGUAACCUGCCUGGUAGCGGGGGAUAACUAUUGGAAACGAUAGCUAAUACCGCAUAAGAGUAGAUGUCGCAUGACAUUUGCUUAAAAGGUGCAAUUGCAUCACUACCAGAUGGACCUGCGUUGUAUUAGCUAGUUGGUGAGGUAACGGCUCACCAAGGCAACGAUACAUAGCCGACCUGAGAGGGGGAUCGGCCACACUGGGACUGAGACACGGCCCAGACUCCUACGGGAGGCAGCAGUAGGGAAUCUUCGGCAAUGGACGGAAGUCUGACCGAGCAACGCCGCGUGAGUGAAGAAGGUUUUCGGAUCGUAAAGCUCUGUUGUAAGUGAAGAACGAGUGUGAGAGUGGAAAGUUCACACUGUGACGGUAUCUUACCAGAAAGGGACGGCUAACUACGUG
rnacentral:rRNA from 1 species